GACAAACUCCGAAUGCCAAUUAAUUUAACUUGGGAGUCAGAACAUGGGUGAUAAGGUCCGUGUUCGAAAGGGAAACAGCCCAGACCACCAGCUAAGGUCCCAAAAUAUAUGUUAAGUGGAAAAGGAUGUGGCGUUGCCCAGACAACUAGGAUGUUGGCUUAGAAGCAGCCAUCAUUUAAAGAGUGCGUAAUAGCUCACUAGUCGAGUGACACUGCGCCGAAAAUGUACCGGGGCUAAACAUAUUACCGAAGCUGUGGAUUGUCCUUUGGACAAUGGUAGGAGAGCGUUCUAAGGGCGUUGAAGCAUGAUCGUAAGGACAUGUGGAGCGCUUAGAAGUGAGAAUGCCGGUGUGAGUAGCGAAAGACGGGUGAGAAUCCCGUCCACCGAUUGACUAAGGUUUCCAGAGGAAGGCUCGUCCGCUCUGGGUUAGUCGGGUCCUAAGCUGAGGCCGACAGGCGUAGGCGAUGGAUAACAGGUUGAUAUUCCUGUACCACCUAUAAUCGUUUUAAUCGAUGGGGGGACGCAGUAGGAUAGGCGAAGCGUGCGAUUGGAUUGCACGUCUAAGCAGUAAGGCUGAGUAUUAGGCAAAUCCGGUACUCGUUAAGGCUGA
rnacentral:rRNA from 1 species